rnacentral:rRNA from 1 species
UACGGAAGGCAGCAGUGGGGAAUAUUGCACAAUGGGCGCAAGCCUGAUGCAGCCAUGCCGCGUGUAUGAAGAAGGCCUUCGGGUUGUAAAGUACUUUCAGUCGUGAGGAAGGUGUUAAGGUUAAUAACCUUAGCAAUUGACGUUAGCGACAGAAGAAGCACCGGCUAACUCCGUGCCAGCAGCCGCGGUAAUACGGAGGGUGCGAGCGUUAAUCGGAAUUACUGGGCGUAAAGGGCACGCAGGCGGUUAAUUAAGUUGGAUGUGAAAUCCCCGGGCUUAACCUGGGAAUGGCAUUCAAGACUGGUUAGCUAGAGUCUUGUAGAGGGGGUAGAAUUCCAUGUGUAGCGGUGAAAUGCGUAGAGAUGUGGAGGAAUACCGGUGGCGAAGGCGGCCCCUGGGACAAAGACUGACGCUCAUGUGCGAAAGCGUGGGGAGCAAACAGGAUUGAUA